rnacentral:rRNA from 1 species
AAUUGGAGGGCAAGUCUGGUGCCAGCAGCCGCGGUAAUUCCAGCUCCAAUAGCGUAUAUUAAAGUUGUUGCAGUUAAAAAGCUCGUAGUUGAAUUUCGGGGUCAGUAGAUUGGUCGUGCCACUGGUAUGUACUGGUCUUACUGGCUCCUCCUUCCUGAUGAACCGUAAUGCCAUUAAUUUGGUGUUGCGGGGAGACUGGACUGUUACUUUGAAAAAAUUAGAGUGUUUAAAGCAGGCUAACGCUUGAAUACAUUAGCAUGGAAUAAUGAAAUAGGACGUUCGAUCCUAUUUUGUCGGUUUCUAAGAUUGACGUAAUGAUUAAUAGGGAUAGUUGGGGGCAUUAGUAUUCAAUUAUCAGAGGUGAAAUUCUUGGAUUUAUUGAAGACUAACUACUGCGAAAGCAUUUGCCAAGGAUGUUUUCAUUAAUCAAGAACGAAAGUUAGGGGAUCGAAGACGAUCAGAUACCGUCGUAGUCUUAACCAUAAACUAUGCCGACUAGGGAUCGGAUGAUGUUAAUUUUUUAAUGACUCAUUCGGCGCCUUACGGGAAACCAAAGUGU